rnacentral:rRNA from 1 species
CAGUAGCCGCGGGAAUACGGAGGGUGCAAGCGUUAAUCGGAAUUACUGGGCGUAAAGCGCACGCAGGCGGUCUGACAAGUCAGAUGUGAAAUCCCCGGGCUUAACCUGGGAACUGCAUUUGAAACUGUCAGGCUGGAGUCUUGUAGAGGGGGGUGGAAUUCCAGGUGUAGCGGUGAAAUGCGUAGAGAUCUGGAGGAAUACCGGUGGCGAAGGCGGCCCCCUGGACAAAGACUGACGCUCAGGUGCGAAAGCGUGGGGAGCAAACAGGAUUAGAUACCCCGGUAGUCCCUGCCUCUUAUAC